rnacentral:lncRNA from 12 species
CAUAGAUUUAAUCUUAGUAUUUAUUUUUUAAAUUUGCUUUUGUCCACAGGGUCUCACUAAGGACAACUUCUUUAUAGCUGUAAUAGUUUUGAAAAUUUCUGAAGGGCACUUCCUGUGCCUCACUAUGGAAAUGAAGAAGCUGGUUUGCAUGUUGCAGAUGACUCUGCUGUUUGUCUCCUGCCUGCAAGGUAAUCAGUGGGUUUUUCUCAGAAAAAUACAAUAAUUUAUCCAAAACUGUGGUCUCUUCCUUGUUAUUAGAAAAUCCACGUUUCAGUUUUG